rnacentral:lncRNA from 1 species
CGAGCACAAAUUUUCCCCUUCGCCGCACACAUAGCAGUGCGCAGGGAGUUUUCCUGGUCAGCUACAUUGAGUCGAUCUGAGUUGUUGAGCCGAGCUGAUUUCAACCCGAGCCAAGCUGCCUGCACCAAGCUGAGCCGAGCCAUUUUUGGAGUCGAGUCGUUUUCUGAGCCGAGCCAUUUUUCGAGUUGAGUCGUUUUCUGAGCCGAG